rnacentral:rRNA from 1 species
GUGUCAGCAGCCGCGGAAAUACGGAGGGUGCAAGCGUUGUCCGGAAUCACUGGGUGUAAAGGGUGUGUAGGCGGGGCUGUAAGUCAGAGGUGAAAUCCCACGGCUCAACCGUGGAACUGCCUUUGAUACUGCAGCUCUUGAGUCCCGGAGAGGUGGCUGGAAUUCGUGGUGUAGCGGUGAAAUGCGUAGAUAUCACGAGGAACACCAGAGGUGUAGACGGGUCACUGGACGGGUACUGACGCUGAGGCACGAAAGCGUGGGGAGCAAACAGGAUUAGAUACCCUGGUAGUCCACGCCCUAAACGAUGUUCACUCGCUGUUGGGCCUAGGGGUUCAGCGGCUAAGGGAAACCGAUAAGUGAACCACCUGGGGAGUACGCCCGCAAGGGUGAAACUCAAAUGAAUUGACGGGG